rnacentral:lncRNA from 1 species
GGUUGUUAGGGCAGCAGAGAAGGCUGGAUUCUGGUACACCGUGAAUUUUGAGGGUUUAGGUGGCGGCGAGACUCCUCCGCCGCCAGCACUCAUUCUUACUGCUUUUUCUCUGUUUGUUUUUCGCUUGUGGUUUUAUACAGCAAUCGCCAUUAUUGAAACUUCGAUUUAGCAAUCGAGUUCGCCGCUCACCUCACAGUGCUCGAAUUUUUUU